UUUUUAAAAUUAUAUUUUUAUAUUACUACUAGUUUUUUAUAAGUGUUUAAUUUUUAAAUUUUGUGUAAAUUAAUUGGAAACAACAUCCAAACCUUUAAGAGGUGUUCUAGGUUCAAUAUGUUUUGCACAUA
rnacentral:sRNA from 1 species